rnacentral:misc_RNA from 1 species
UUAAGGUAGAAAUGGUUAACUAAAAAUCAUAUGCCAAAUAUCUCAGACAGGAAAUAUCACAUUCACAUGAAUCCAAUGUUAUCCCAAUUCAAAAGCAAUCUUUCAAAGAAUAACUAAGGAUUAAAAGGGUCAAAAAGAGCAGCAUCAAGAUAAGGCAGUCACAAGGAAAAAAAUGAUAACAUAAACAAAUUUAUGCAUUUCAUGCCAAAAUUUGUUUGAUGAAUCUGUUAGCCUUCAGUUAAAUCACGCUUAUCCAGGUAACUAAAAAUCCUCAAUGAUACAUAGAUUAGUUUAGAAAUUUAUAUCUUCCAAGAAAAAUUAGUUAUCGCGCAUUAAAUCAGUGAAUCCAUAACAACACUUAUGCAACAAACAAUACACUUCUGAAAUUAAAGACUUUGUCAAGUUUUUAGCCCAACAAAUGAUUCAAUAGAUUAUCAAUUUUCCUCACAUAACAAUUAUCUCUCAGCAAGCAUACCUGGUUCCAUCUUCCUCCAGUUG